GAUCAGAUGGUAUAUCUCCGUUUCAAGAGGGGCGAGACCUAAGCCAUCCCUGGAUGCAUAAAGGACUUUGCUAAAUUAACAGAGGGCUAGAAAAAUGGGGACCACCGUAGACUGGCCUGAGGCUGCGGCUGUGGGCACCACACCCUACGACUACGAGGAGGCAAUGCCGUGUGAAAAAGUCAAUGUCAAGGAGCUGGGGGCGCAGUUCCUGCCCCCGCUGUAUUCCCUGGUGUUCGGGGCUGGGCUGCUGGGCAAUGUGGUGGUGCUGGUGAUCCUCACAAAAUACAAGAGGCUCCGGAUUGUGACCAACAUCUACCUGUUUAAUUUGGCGAUUUCUGACUUGCUCUUUCUAUUCACUCUGCCGUUCUGGAUUCACUAUGUGGCGUGGAAUGAGUGGGUCUUUGGUCACCGCAUGUGUAAGUUCCUCUCAGGGCUUUAUUAUCUGGGCUUGUACAGCGAGAUCUUCUUCAUCAUCCUGCUGACGAUAGACCGGUACCUGGCCAUCGUCCACGCCGUGUUCGCCCUUCGAACCCGAACUAUAACAUUUGGCAUGGCAACCAGCAUCUUCACAUGGGGCCUGGCAGGGCUAGCAGCCCUCCCGGAAUUUAUCUUCCACGAGUCCCAAGAGGAUUUUGGAAAGCCUGUGUGUAGUCCUCUUUACCCAGAAAAUGAAGAAAACACCUGGAAGCAUUUCCUCGUGCUGCGAAUGAAUAUCUUGGGUCUUGCCCUGCCUCUGCUAGUUAUGGCUGUCUGCUACUCAGGAAUCAUCAAAACGCUGCUGAGAUGUCCCAGUAAAAAGAAGUACAAGGCCAUCCGGCUCAUUUUUGUCAUCAUGGUGGUCUUUUUCAUUUUCUGGACACCUUACAACCUGGUUCUCCUUCUCUCUGUUUUUCAAACGACCUUCUUUGAGACAGACUGUGAGAAGAGCAAGCAGCUGGACCUGGCCAUGCUGGUGACGGAGGUGAUCGCCUACUCGCACUGCUGCGUCAACCCCGUGAUCUACGCCUUCGUCGGUGAGAAGUUCCAAAAACACCUUCGCCACUUUUUCUACAGGCAUGUGGCCAUCUACCUGGGCAAAUACAUCCCAUUCCUUCCUAAGGAGAAACUGGAAAGAGCCAGCUCUAUAUCCCCAUCGACAGGGGAGCAGGAACUUUCUAUUGUAUUUUAAGUCAGAUGCAGAAAAAGUCCUUAAGAACAGGUGCUGGGCGGAUGAAGCAAACGCAUUGACCCCUCCACCACCCCUUUGAAUUUCCAGCACAACACUGAAGCCCGUGAAGAGAUUAAAAUAUACACACAAUGAUGGUAAUAUAGCUGUGUGCCCCAAAGUCAUUACCAGAGGUCAAUGGCUGGUCAGUUUACUUAGUGUCAAACAUGAAAAGCAGAGUUUUGCUUGAUUCUCUGUAGAGUUACAUGUAUUUUAGUGCACCUGAAUGUUAGUAUAUGCAGCUGCAAACAGGUAUAUCUUUAAAUAUUCUAGAUCGUAACUUCAGCCAGCUACUGCUUAAGGGAAACAUUUCACAAAAUACAAUGAAUCAGUUAUAAUGCUUCUUAAUAUGCCAGCCCUUUCCAAGCUUGAUGAAAAGAUUUUUUUUUUUUAGCUUAUGGAUAUGUACUCUCAAGCAACCUCAUGGCAUAUAACAUCUGUUCUGAAUAUGCUUCAUAGCGAAUUUAUUUCCUAUUCACACCAAAUGACCAUAUUUCCCAUGAGGGACUUAAAAGAAGAAGAGCAAUUUGGUAUUUUUAGUGUAGAGAAUAAAGGCGCUGCUCAUAGAAAUUCCUCAGAGCCCUGAAAUGUGCAGACACUGUCCUCUUAAAUGCUUGUCCAACAACUUUGCGUUAGGCAAUACAGACAAGAUGCACAGACAUGGCUUUAGGUUAACUGGAGAAAGCAGAAAUGUCUAAGACAAACACAUUCCCUGCCCCCAUGAAACCUUCCAUCUAGCAGAGGAUGUAAGAUAGGAAAAAAUAGCUGCAGUGCAAAGAGAAACACACUCACUGCUCUGCCUGGCCCAGGAAGGGAAAGACCAUUUCCAGCUGGAAGACUUAAUGGAGGAAGUAGCUUUUGAGAGGUUCUCUGAAGAAGGGGCAGGAUUUGGAAAGUGAGAGGAUUUGGAAGAUGCAUCUUAAUCCAAUGGAAUCCUCAAAACAAAGUAAUCAACUAAGGUGACAGUUUACCUCCUUCUCAACUGCUGGAAUUAAAGAUAGCAUCACUGGUAUCGAAACAAUUGCACUGUUGUUUGUGCUCUGCCUGAGGAAGGUGCCUUCUGAGUAGUAUUCUCAGAAGCUCACUCUUUGACACCUCCUAGGAACCACUUCCAGUCCUCUUGGCCUUCACUGCUGGGGGCUCCCAUCAGCCUCACGUAGGUGCAGACUGACGGCGCCUCAUUGGGGCCAAGCCAUGACUCUCACCAUCCAUCCUGGGACUCCUCUGUUGACACUCAGGGCCCACACACAUGCAAGCUGGAAGAACAGGCAACUUGAUGUUCAGGGAGGCAAAGCUUUGACCAAUGGGAGACAGGAGCUGGUGGAGAAAUGUGUCUGCCUCCAUCCCCCAGGCAGACAAUCCUGAAAGGCGUCUCUUAUCUUCCAGCACUCGUGGUGGCCACAGUGUCCUUGUACUGGCCUUGCUCCCUCCCUGCCUUACUACCUGAGAUCACACAUCCUGAUGAAGUUCUGGGACAUAAGCCUUGAUCUUGGGCUCUGCCUUCUGGGGAACCCAAGUGAAUAGGAUUAUGGUCAUUACCUUCACUUUCAUUUUUAAAUUUCUAAAAAUUUUUCUAUGCACUGGGGGUUCCAUACAAGCACCUGAGAAAAGUUUGUUCUUAAACCUUGAAUAUAAUAAUGUGUUGUGGAGCAAUGUAACUGGCAUUAAAUAUUUUUCCAUCUGCAGUUCAGCUUUCAUUGCACACACACCCCUGGAGAGGAAGGAUGGCAGGAUCUUUACAGCAGUGCCAAGUCAGAAAUACUUACGCUUUCAAGGUGACUUCUCCAGUGGAUUCCAGCAAAUCAGCUCUUUUUCCACAAGCAGCUAUUGGUUGUUAGCAAGUUCUACUAUGCCAGUACUGUUAUCUGUCAAGUGUAUCAUUACACUGUCUUUUGAUCAAACAGCAUUUCUAACCCAUCAUGGAUGCUAUGCCAUUUGUGUAAGCACUUUGGAUAAGUGUAUUUCAAAGCAAUAUCAAUAUCUUGUACAUAUCCUGACAUGUGGUAAUUUUCCUUAUACUAAAAACUAAAUAAUAUAAGAGACCUUCUACCUUUUUGCUUAGGACCAGCAAUUCUGCUACAUUAUGCUGUACUGUCGGUACUUUCUGAAAACACAACUGAAAGGUGUGAACAAAACAUUGUGUGCUUGUAAUCCCUAAAUCACUCAUGGUUUCACCAUGUGUUUUCCAUUAUCAAAGACAAUUACAGAACAUUUUACUUUAUGGAUUUUCCACACAGUAAAUAUUU